rnacentral:rRNA from 1 species
GACGAACCGUCCUAACGUUGUUCGGAUUCACUGGUCUUAAAGGGCGCGUAGGCGGACUGGUAAGUCCGGGGUGAAAUCUUUCGGCUCAACCGGAAAAGUGCCUUGGAAACUGCCAGUCUCGAGGGGGGUAGGGGCCUGUGGAACUUCGGGUGGAGCGGUGAAAUGCGUUGAUAUCCGAAGGAACGCCGGUGGCGAAAGCGACGGGCUGGACCCCUUCUGACGCUGAGGCGCGAAAGCCAGGGGAGCAAACGGG